rnacentral:rRNA from 1 species
AACGAACGCUGGCGGCAGGCCUAACACAUGCAAGUCGAACGCUGUAGCAAUACAGAGUGGCAGACGGGUGAGUAACGCGUGGGAACAUACCCUUCGGUUCGGAAUAACUCAGGGAAACUUGAGCUAAUACCGGAUACGUGCGAGAGCAGAAAGAUUCAUCGCCGAAGGAUUGGCCCGCGUUCGAUUAGCUUGUUGGUGAGGUAAUGGCUCACCAAGGCGACGANCGAUAGCUGGUCUGAGAGGAUGAUCAGCCACAUUGGGACUGAGACACGGCCCAAACUCCUACGGGAGGCAGCAGUGGGGAAUAUUGGACAAUGGGCGAAGGCCUGAUCCAGCCAUGCCGCGUGAGUGAUGAAGGCCCUAGGGUUGUAAAGCUCUUUCGUCAGGGACGAUAAUGACGGUACCUGAAGAAGAAGCCCCGGCUAACUUCGUGCCAGCCG